ensembl:lncRNA
CACAGCACGAGAUGACCACCAGCCCAGCACCACGGCACAGGAGGGUCGAAUCUACACCUGUGUUGGCAGACAAGAUGGUUGACUCAACGCCUGAGUCUUCCGUCAAGGAGCCACCGGCACGUCAUCAUAGAGGCCGCAGGAGGAGGAGACAGGCGUCAGCCGUUCCUCAAAGCCCGGAGGACGUUCCCGAGCAGGCCGCUGCCGUCCAGGAGGACGUUCCCGAGCAGGCCGCUGCCGUCCAGGAGGACGUUCCCGAGCAGGCCGCUGCCGUCCAGGAGGACGUUCCCGAGCAGGCCGCGGUCGUCCAGGUGGAGGUGUCCAAGGUUCCCGAGGCGGUGCCCGAUGCCGAGCCCGAGGCGGUUCCCGAUGCAAUGCCCGAGGCCGAGAAGGUGGCCGAGACAGAAGCGGUUCCCGAUGCUAUGCACGAGGCCGAGGCGGUGCCCGAGGCGGUGCCCGAUGCCGAGGCGGUGCCCGAGGCGGUACCCGAUGCCGAGGCGGUGCCCGAUGCCGAGGCGGUGCCCGAGGCGGUCCCCGAUGCCGAGGCGGUGCCCGAGGCGGUUCCCGAUGCAAUGUCCGAUGCCGAGGCGGUCCCCGAUGCCGAGGCGGUUCCCGAUGCGGUGCCCGAUGCCGAGGCGGUGCCCGAGGCGGUUCCCGAUGCAAUGUCCGAUGCCGAGGCGGUCCCCGAUGCCGAGGCGGUUCCCGAUGCCGAGGCGGUGCCCGAUGCGGUGCCCGAUGCCGAGGCGGUUCCCG